AUCCSCCCUUUUCCGGUUGAUCCCGCCGGACCCCACUGCUAUGGGAUGGACCUAAGACAUGCUAGUCGUGCGCUCCCUAGCCAAUUUGGGAGCCCGGCGCACAGCUCAGUAACACGUGGCUAAUCUGCCCUUGGACAAGAACAACCCCGGGAAACUGGGGCUAAUUCUCGAUAGGUGAAGAACUCUGGAAUGAGUCUUCGCUUAAAAAGAGGCUGGGGUUAUGCUCUCCAGUUUCGCCCAAGGAUGAGGCCGCGGCCGAUCAGGUUGUUGGUGAGGUAAUGGCUCACCAAGCCUUUUACCGGUGCGGGCCGUGAGAGCGGGAGCCCGGAGAUGGGCACUGAGACAAGGGCCCCAGGCCCUACGGGGCGCAGCAGUCGCGAAAACUUUGCAAUACACGAAAGUGUGACAGGGCUAUCCCGAGUGCCAUCCGCUGAGGAACGCUUUUACCCAGUCUAGAACGCUGGGGGAAUAAGGAGAGGGCAAGUCUGGUGUCAGCCGCCGCGGUAAUACCAGCUCUCCGAGUGGUGUGGAUGUUUAUUGGGCCUAAAGCAUCCGUAGCUGGCUAAGUUAGUCCCUUGUUAAAUCCACCGAAUUAAUCGUUGGAUUGCGGGGGAUACUGCUUGGCUAGGGGACGAGAGAGGCAGACGGUAUUUCCGGGGUAGGGGUGAAAUCCUAUAAUCCCGGGAAGACCACCAGUGGCGAAGGCUGUCUGCUAGAACGCGCCCGACGGUGAGGGAUGAAAGCUGGGGGAGCGAACCGGAUUAGAUACCCGGGUAGUCCCAGCUGUAAACGAUGCAGGCUAGGUGUUUGGACGGCCACGUGCCGUUCUAGUGCCGCAGGGAAGCUGUUAAGCCUGCCGCCUGGGGAGUACGAUCGCAAGAUUGAAACUUAAAGGAAUUGGCGGGGGAGCACCACAAGGGGUGAAGCUUGCGGUUUAAUUGGAGUCAACGCCG
rnacentral:rRNA from 1 species